CGAGGUGUAGUUCACCGGUAGAACGCCUGCUUUGGGAGCAGGAUGUAGGGGGUUCGAUUCCUCCCACUUCGA
rnacentral:tRNA from 1 species